UCUUCAUUGACUCAGCGGUAAAGAAUCUGCCUGCAAUGCAGGAGAGGCAGGUUCAAUCCCUGGAUCAGGAA
rnacentral:tRNA from 1 species